UACGUAGGGGGCGAGCGUUGUCCGGAUUUAUUGGGCGUAAAGCGCGGGCAGGCGGCCCGGUAAGUCGGCCGUGAAAGCGCCGGGCUCAACUCGGCGAGGACGGGCGAGACUGCAGGGCUGGAGCAAGGCAGAGGGCGGUGGAAUUCCGGGUGUAGUGGUGGAAUGCGUAGAGCUCCGGAGGAACACCAGUGGCGAGGACGGC
rnacentral:rRNA from 1 species